CUAGUAUCUGCUGUCUGCACUGCAUUAGGCACGUCCUCUGGCCCUAUUCUUUUGGAGGCAGGCUUGCAGUUGGCUACAAAGAUACUAACGAAUGGGAUAAUUAGUGGAGAUCAAAUUGCAGUUAAGAGAAUAUUUUCAUUGAUAUCACAUCCACUGAACAACUUUGAGGAUCUUUACUAUCCAUCAUUUGCAGAAUGGGUAUCAUGCAAGGUAUAUCAUUUCACUAUUCUCCAAAUUGUUCAAUGAAAUGAAGAAGGCCAAUUGGUGGAUCUGCUCCAAAUUAUUCAAUGUAAAUUAAGGGUUGGUUUGGGAAUAUAGGCUAUUUUAGUAACUUUUUGGCUAAAAUAAGAGGUGAAAAAAAUUAGUAUGCUUGGGAUGAUUUUUUGGAUUUUUACA